GACCUAGGAAAAUAGGAAAACCGCCUGAGAAUCAAAUGCUGUAUUUUUUCUCUCCCUUUUCCACAGCAGGAGUCAAUGAAUUUGAAGCGUGCAGACUGAUGGCCAAAAGUCAUGGUGCCUCUCUCAGCAAGGGAGAAGCUACCCUUCUAUCUAAUGUAGUUGUUAAGCGCUUGAUCCUGCUGGAGGAAGAGAGUGAAAUAAAUGGCUGCAGGAGUUUUUCAGUGUCAUAUUUUUUGUUGUUGCUCACUGAGAUGAGCAAAGGAGAGUUUCCAUCCAGGAAAGCACCAAGGUGCAGCAAGGAGAGGUUACUUCAACUACAUGAAGGCAACAGCUUUGCAGAUGUGCUCUGGAUCAAAUCCAUAGCUCAGGAGGAAAAUGCUUAACACCAUCUUCCUCUACAUAUCCCUGCAGCACCUAGGACCUAGAGAUUUCUGCUGCAAGUACAUGAACUGCAAUGGAGCGAGAUGUCUUUUAGAAAACCUUGAAUUGCUUCAUGCAGAUUAGAGAAGAUUUAACUGGAAGGAUGGAGAGACUUGUAGCCAAAAUGUUUAACACACUGAGCAAUCUUCAGAUCCAAGAUAAAUGCCAUGUCUACUUGAUCAUGGGUACCAGGAACGUGCGCCAGCUGCUGUGAUUUCCAAGAGGGCUGAUUUUGGUGCUUAACUCCAGGAGAGCUACAGCCUGACCCAGCACGCUACUGAUGCAGAUCCAAGCAUAAGUUAUUCAGCGUUUGGAUGUGCAGUGCAUCGUGCACCGUUGUCACCAGUUUCGAGCCAGUGCAAAGGAGGCAGGAUGCUGACUUUGCAAACAACCCUUCUCCUGGGAGAUGCUGCAGUCCAAAGCUGGGUCGCUGGCUCUGUCACCUGGCUCUGUUCCUUGCAGCAGCUGUGGGAUUCAAGAGAAAUGUAGAAUAAGCGUGCUUGCCAGUAUGACAUGCUGCAGACUUGGGAGAAGAGUUUCCAUUUUGGUCAUGCGAAAGAAUUUGAAACUGCAAUGCAGUGAAAUCCACCCUGGUGGAGCCAAGACCUCCCUGGGAGGCCACAGGGCUGCGUCUGGAGAGCUCCAGGGAGACCCUGGAC